AACGAACGCUGGCGGCAUGCCUAACACAUGCAAGUCGAACGAGACCUUCGGGUCUAGUGGCGCACGGGUGCGUAACGCGUGGGAACCUGCCCUUAGGUUCGGAAUAACUCCCCGAAAGGGGUGCUAAUACCGGAUAAUGUCUUCGGACCAAAGAUUUAUCGCCUUUGGAUGGGCCCGCGUUGGAUUAGCUAGUUGGUAGGGUAAAAGCCUACCAAGGCGACGAUCCAUAGCUGGUCUGAGAGGAUGAUCAGCCACACUGGGACUGAGACACGGCCCAGACUCCUACGGGAGGCAGCAGUGGGGAAUAUUGGACAUUGGGCGAAAGCCUGAUCCAGCAAUGCCGCGUGAGUGAUGAAGGCCUUAGGGUUGUAAGCUCUUUUACCCGGGAUGAUAAUGACAGUACCGGGAGAAUAAGCUCCGGCUAACUCCGUG
rnacentral:rRNA from 1 species